UCCCACUCUCCGAACCCCUCGGUCACAGCCCAGAGCAUCCUCCUGCACCUCAAACCUUUCAUCCCCAGCCCCACCCCAUAGCCCACACCCCCCCAGCCGGAGCCCUCAUGCUCUGCCUCAAUGUUAUAUAACAUUGUUUGGGUGAACUACCAUCAGUUCCUCCUCUAUCACAGAGCUCGUUGAUAAGAAAGCCAAAGCAGAGGGAGAAGGGCAAAUAGUGGAGCAUGCACAGGGACAUAUAUCUUGAAGAACCACAGUUACUGCACAAGAGCAGUUCAUUUCUAAACUUUGGAACACUGAGGAGCCAUUGAGGUGGAGACCCUGAAGAUUGGGGUAAAAGAUCAGUCCCACAUCCUCUGAGAGGAAGUGAAAAAUGGGCUGGAGAGGGUUUGGCAGGCAAAUUGCCAUUUGAGUAAGGUGUGUAAAUUCCCCAGGAAUGCAACAUGGCUCUGGAGUCUUUUAAUGUUUGGUGGGAUUAUUCUGUUCUUUCUCCAAAUAACUUGGACCUUCAAAUGGAAAGUCUUCCAUAGUGGAUUGUACCUCCUUUGGAAAGCCGGAAAGGUGAAAUCAUUAAGCUUUCUGCAUGACCACUGCGGUUGAGAUGGAAUGAGCAGCCGUACCAGCAAUGUCCAGAGAGGCCUGCAACUAUGUCCUUGCAAGUAGCUGACCCUCAGCAAUGAUUGCCUAAAACUGUUCUCUUUGAUCAGUUGGGAGAUGUUCAAUGAAGCUGUUAACUUAGAGUAGUUGACAUGAUUGUAUUUUGCCAUAAGGGCUUGGUAAUUAGCAAUCCUAAAUUGUGGGGUAACUGAUUAAUAUGAUUUCCUUCCAAAUAAAUCCAAUCAUUUCCAGUC